rnacentral:rRNA from 1 species
UACGGGGGGGGCAAGCGUUGUUCGGAAUUACUGGGCGUAAAGGGCUCGUAGGCGGCCAACUAAGUCAUACGUGAAAUCCCCAGGCUCAACCUGGGAACUGCGUCUGAUACUGGUUGGCUUGAAUCCGGGAGAGGGAUGCAGAAUUCCAGGUGUAGCGGUGAAAUGCGCAGAUAUCAGGAGGAACACCGGUGGCGAAGGCGGGUCUCUGGGCCGAUACUGACGCUGAGGAGCGAAAGCGUGGGGAGCAAACAGG